GAAAUUACAAGUAGCCCCAAAACUAUCGGUCUAAAAUCUUCAUAAGAAACCAAUGAAAUAAGUAAACUGCAAGAGAUCGAAGCAACAAAUAUGAUAAAUCUACCACUCCAUUGUGAUCAGGAUAAAAAAUCAUUAGCCGAUAAUUUUAAGACAACAAUCUGGCCAGAGGCAAAAUUCCACUUAAAAAGUUUUGGGACAAAACAAUGUGAAUCAGAAUCAGAACUAGUCUGGGUCUGUGACUAAUCGUGAUUGACUUAUGGCUGAACAACCAAAUCCGGUUCGAUUUCAAUGUAUUUCUCAACAACGUUAUGAACCAAUUCGGAAAUUACAUGCUAGCUUGAAAAGGCCUGUAAGGCAAGUAAAUUACUGAACAAGGUAGAAUGAGAAAUGUAGCAUGCAAUGGCUGAAAGAAGGAUGAAACAAUAUCUAAAACAACAAAAACCACAUCUGGAAAAACAUAUCUUGUGCUACAGUACUUGGACUCUGUUGUACCUACUGCACUACAUCGUUCCAGUUGAGUUGAGUAAGAGCGUCAUGAAAAAUGCCAAAGGAUGCUAAAAGAGUUAUAUAUGCCUAUUGGAAACACAACGUAUAUAGCAAGUUGACUCAACUACUAGAAGAGGAAAGGAGGUGGAGUUUGAAAAACUUACGUUGCUUAAUUCACUCCGACAGUAAAGCGGUGACGCAUUGCAUAGCUUUGGCAAAAGGUAGAUUCAUCAAAUUCUUGUAAUUCCUAAUCCCCAGCACUAUAAGGGAUGUAAGGUUACCCAACAAGUCUGGUAAAGUCUCCAGUCCCUCAAGUAGUUGAUAUAUAAACCAGUUAAAGAAAAGUGUUGAAUUUGAUGAGGCAGAGACUUGAGCUUUGGCCACCCUUUAAAAUGUAACAAUUCAUGCCGCAAUGAUCAACCUUGAACAUCAGGAAUGGAAUUGAGCUCCUCCCCGAACCUGCCAAUGGCGAAUUUUAUCAAUUUCGGGUUUGUAGACCUUUCCACCGAUUUCUUAAAUUUGCCAAAUUAUAAAAUCCCUAACUUAGCAUUGCAACUGAUGAUUCUUUACCUAAUUUCUGCAAUAAUGCAGGCAUUUAACAGUUCAUCAAGUUACUCAAGGGGAUAUGAAAUAGCAAUUCAAUAAUCAACUGUAUUCAAACCAUUGUUCAUCAGAUUAAAAAAAAAAUUGUUCAGAAAUCACAAGUAACCAUAAAAAUAUCAUCCGAAAAACUUUGUAAGAAUAAUAACAGACGGAAAGCAAUUGCAGUAAAUCUAUAUUUAUAUUAUCUGAACAUGGUUUUACAUGAUCACAAGUCUUGGCAUUACUCUUCCAAGUUUAUAACAAGAUUUGAAUACCAUGAUCGGAAAUUUAAUACCUUGUACAUCAGCACUUGGACAGAGUUUCCACUCAUUGAUUAUCCUGAAAACGGCCACAUCAUGCCAAAAGAAAUAUAGAUGCCAGUGGGAAACACACAACACAUAUAGUAAGUCAGAAGUCAACAGUACAUUGUAUUGAUCAAUUAGAAGAGGAGCAGGUGUGUGGUUUGAAAAGCUUACAUGACUUGAUUUCAAUGCAAAAGUUCGAGCCGUUUGGAUUUGUUUGUACAUAAAAUAUGGAAUACAAGUACUCUUGGAGAACUGUGUAGCCAUUCCCCUUAAAGUUCCAUCCCCUGAAUAUCAAACUGUACAUACUUUGGUGCCUAUCUACAAGAACAAGGGCGACGUACAAAAUUGCAUGAACUAUAGGGGUAUUAAGCUAAUGAGUCAUACAAUGAAGCUCUGGGAGAGAGUCAUUGAGCAUAGAUUGAGGCAAGAGACACGGGUUUCGGACAACCAAUUCGGGUUCAUGCCAGGGCGCUCAACCAUGGAGGCAAUCUAUCUCUUACGAAGAUUGAUGGAAAGAUAUAGAGAUGGGAAAAAGGAUUUACACAUGGUCUUUAUAGAUUUGGAAAAAGCGUAUGAUAGGGUCCCAAGAGACAUUCUUUGGAGAAUUUUAGAGAAGAAAGGAGUACGAGUAGCAUAUAUCCAAGCUAUAAAGGAUAUGUAUGAAGGAGCAAAGACUGCCGUAAGAACUCAUGAAGGACAAACCGAAAGCUUCCCCCAUAACUGUAGGAUUACAUCAAGGCUCAUCCUUAAGUCCUUACCUUUUUGCGUUGGUAAUGGAUGAGUUAACAGGACAUAUUCAAGAUGAUAUUCCUUGGUGUAUGCUUUUCGCAGACGAUAUAGUGUUGAUAGAUGAAACUCAGGAAGGGGUAAAUGCAAAGCUUAACCUUUGGAGAGAAGUGUUGGAAUCUAAAGGUCUUCGCCUAAGCCGAUCAAAGACAGAAUAUAUGGAGUGCAAGUUCAGUGCAAAUGGAGGCCAAAACGAGUUAGGGGUGAGGAUCGGAGAUCAAGAAAUACCAAAAAGCGACCGUUUUCGUUACCUAGGAUCUAUCUUGCAAAAGAACGGAUAAUUAGAUGGAGAUCUCAACCAUAGAAUACAAGCUGGAUGGAUGAAGUGGAAGAGUGCAUCCGGCGUGUUGUGUGACCGCCGUAUGCCACUUGAAGCUCAAGGGAAAAUUUUAUAGGACGGCAAUAAGGCCGGCGAUGCUGUAUGGCACAAAAAUGUUGGGCGGUGAAACAUCAACACGUACACAAAAAUGGGUGUAGCGGAGAUGAGGAUGCUUCGUUGGAUGUGUGGGCACACGAGAAAGGAUAAGAUUAGGAAUGAGGAUAUCCGGGGUAAAGUAGGAGUAGCCGAAAUUGAAGGAAAGAUGAGAGAGAAAAUCGGUUACGGUGGUUUGGACAUGUGCAAAGAAGGCCUACUGACGCUCCGAUUAGAAGAUGCGACUAUGGGACAGAGGUUCAGGGCCGAAGGGGUAGAGGAAGACCUAGGAAAACUUUGGAAGAGACUCUAAGAAAAGACUUAGAGUACUUGGAUCUAACGAAGGACAUGACACAGGAUCGAGCACAAUGGCGUUCUAAGAUUCAUAUAGCCGAUCCCACUCAGUGACUUGGAUUUUCCAAGUCUCCAAUCGAGAAGUUUUCCUCACUCGGGAAAUUAAGGGAACACUACCCCAACCUACAUGCUCCACUCAGAAAGCUUCAACAUACAAGCUUCAACAAAAGAAAAUUCAAAGAACUUAGCGAAGAAGGCUUUGGUGUAUUUAACACAAUACGUUGAAAUGAAGGAAAGCUUAUUUAUUGAUAUCCCCGAUCAGCUACAAAUAUGUACAUAUACAUGAGUCAAAAUAAACACACAAGACGGAGCCUUCACAAAGGUUGCUUAGGAGAAGUCUCAGCAGUCGGUAGAGCCCCAGAAAGAGAAGGCACCGGAGGGGGAUCAUUUGGAGUCUCAGUACUGGACAGAACCCUAGAAGGAGGAGGCAUCAGAGGUUGAUCAUUCGGAGCUUCAUUACGCGGUACAGCCCCAGAAGACGAAGGCAAUAAAUGCCUUUGGAACAAACCCACAAAUCUCUGAUGAUCAAGUAAAACCUGACCAUCAGUUUCCUUCAUCUGGUCAAGCUUCCUCUUCAUGUUUGUAGCAUAGUCAGGUGCGAGUCGGUGCAACUGUUUAUUCUCAUGCUUGAGCCCUCUAAUCUCCUGUUUGAGACUCAUCACUUCAGCCGCCAAGGAUUCAACUUGGCGGGUUCGAGCAAAUAGGCGUUGGGCCAUAUUAGACACAGAACCUGCACACUGAACACUGAGAGCCAGCGAAUCCUUAACAGCUAACUCAUCAGACCGUUUGGAAAGUAGUCUGUUAUCUUUGGGAGUGAGAAGGUUCCUGGCCACCACCGCAGCGGUCAUAUCAUUCUUCAUCACGGAAUCCCCAACGGUAAGAGGACCAGUAGGGGAGACGAAGGAUGGGCGCCAUAUGUUGUCUGGAGAAGGCGGGGCUGCCUCUUCAACAAGGUUCAAGUCAAAACAACGGUCGAAGGGGCCAGACAUUUUCAAAGGUGUUGAAGAGAGAAGAGGUCGGACAAAUCAAGAUCUUAGAAGUGCAAGAAUGAAGCUUCUACUGGUGGAGAUUCAAGUGUGCUUUGGAACUUAAUGUCAGCCUCUAUAAAAAUCUGCACUCGACGGAGCUUCAGAAAUCGAAGAGGCGCCUGCUCAGAAAUCGAAGAGGCGCCUGCUCAGAAAUCGAAGAGGCGUUUGCUUUCUCAAAAGCACGAGGGUUGAUCUCAGAAAUCGAAGAGGCGUUUGCUUUCUCAAAAGUUGGGCUGCUCAAAGACCACGAAGGCCGAUCUCAGAAAUCGAAGAGGCGCUCGCUUUCUCAAAAGCUGGGCUCCCCAGAGACCACGAGGGCCGAUCUCAGAAAUCGAAGAGGCACCUACUUUUCCAGCCUUGUCAGCACUCGUCACACGCACACUCAGCUUUGCAGAAAUUAUGAGCAUUCUGUCGAAGACUUCUGGGGAAGUAGAAAACACAUGAAUCUUACUGUUCAAUCACCCACUUCCCACACGCAACAAUAGCUCAUGGGUACCACAGAUAACUUUGCCAAAGUUCUCUGCCAAAGUUGAGCACGUGAAGCUUGCAGCUCCCACUACAUCGCUCUGACCAAGAAGGGUAAAAGAAUAGCAAAGAAACAGCACUAACAAAGUUUAGACCCAUAAAUUUUGAAGGUCUAGCUACCAUAUUAUUACCCACAAGGGUAAAGGAACAGUACCACUGCUGGAUAAUUGGAAAGUCCUUGUGUGUCAACCUCUGUGCUUCGUGGCAAGGUAGACUAGCAAACAUGCCCAACCUUUACUCACAUUCGAGAAAAACACUCCCAAUAAGAUUGCUUGCUCCAAAAUCGAAGAGGCACCGUCCUCCGAAUCUCGAGAGCCAGACUCCCAACAUGACUACUUUCUUAAAAAUCGAAGAGAGGGUAAAGGAACAGUACCAUUGCUGGAUAAUUGGAAAGUCCCUGUGUGUCAACCUCUGUGCUUCGUGGCAAGGUAGACUAGCAAACAUGCCCAACCUUUACUAACAUUCGAGAAAACACUCCCAACAAGAUUGCUUGCUCCAAAAUCGAAGAGGCACCGCCCUCCGAAUCUCGAGAGCCAGACUCCCAACGUGAUUACUUUCUCAAAAAUCGAAGAGACACUGCUCCCCGAAUCUUCGAGAGCCAGACCCCCAGCAUGAUUGCUUUCUCAAAAAUCGAUGAGGCAUCGUUCUCCGAAUCAAUCGAAGAGGCGCUCGCUUUCUCAAAAGCUGGGCUGCUCAGAGACCACGAGGGCCGAUCUCAGAAAUCGAAGAGGCACCUACUUUUCUAGCUUUGUCAGCACCUGUCACACGCACACUCAGCUUUGCAGAAAUUAUGGGCAUUCUGUCGAAGACUUCUGGUGAAGUAGAAAGCACAUGAAUCUUACUGUUCAAUCACCCACUUCCCACACGCAACAAUAGCUCAUGGGUACCACAGAUAACUUUGCCAAAGUUCUCUGCCAAAGUUGAGCACGUGAAGCUUGCAGCUCCCACUACAUCGCUCUGACCAAGAAAGGUAAAAGAAUAGCAAAGAAACAGCACUAACAAAGUUUAGACACAUAAAUUUUGAAGGUCUAGCUACCAUAUUAUUACCCACAAGGGUAAAGGAACAGUACCACUGCUGGAUAAUUGGAAAGUCCCUGUGUGUCAACCUCUGUGCUUCGUGGCAAGGUAGACUAGCAAACAUGCCCAACCUUUACUCACAUUUCGAGAAAACACUCCCAACAAGAUUGCUUGCUCCAAAAUCGAAGAGGCACCGUCCUCCGAAUCUCGAGAGCCAGACUCCCAACAUGACUACUUUCUCAAAAGCGAAGAGAGGGUAAAGGAACAGUACCAUUGCUGGAUAAUUGGAAAGUCUCUGUGUGUCAACCUUUGUGCUUCGUGGCAAGGUAGACUAGCAAACAUGCCCAACCUUUACUCACAUUCGAGACAACACUCCCAACAGGAUUGCUUGCUCCAAAAUCGAAGAGGCACCGCCCUCCGAAUCUCGAGAGCCAGACUCCCAACAUGAUUACUUCCUCAAAAAUCGAAGAGACACUACUCUACGAAUCUCGAGAGCCAGACCCCCAACAUGAUUGCUUUCUCAAAAAUCGAAGAGGCAUCGUUCUCCGAAUCUCGAGAGCCAGAUACCACAGACCACUUUUUCAAAGUGCUCUGACAGAGUUAAAACAUGUGAAACUGGCAGCUCCCACUACCGUGCUAUGACCAAACAGGGUAAAGGAAUAGCAUUACUACUUGUUUUUAGGAAGACUCCUAUAUAUGUCGACCUCCAUCCCCAACGGACAGGCAGACCUGCAAAAAUGCUCAACCCUUCAUCAUAUCUGAGAGGGCACUCCCAACGAAGCCUUUCGAAAUAUUCAGCUUUCUUUCCCCCCGAUAAUACCUCUGCAAACAAGCUAUACUAGAGCAAGAAUAUCUCAUAUCAUCAGGGUUAAAAGCAAGAGUAUCCCAUAUCAUGCUUUUUCCCUGUCUUUUCCUUUGGCCUUGUUUUUACCUGCAAGACAAGGAGAAAGAGAGCAAUCAGUCAGCACUUGGAAUCAAGCUUCCAGCCAGGAACUGACUGCCUGGAACCCCUUACCUGAUUACUUACCUGGCAUUGCUCUCGAGUACUCAUCUUCAACAUCUUAUGUUUCCAGGGAAGAUUCCGCAUCUGCUUGAGGAACAGAUAGGGCAAGUGCGAAGGAUACAAGGAAGCAUGUGGAGACAAGCGUAACAGCACACGUGCCGAUACACCCAUUACUCUGUCAAAAGCAAAAGUAUCCCAUAUCAGCAGGGUGGAACGUACUCUAGAUUUGAUGGACUUGUUUUGACCCUCAAAUUCUUCAGUCGGCCUUAUACUCUGGAGGAAACCAGAAAACCCUCCAGCUCAGUUCAAGAAUAAGCCUGUGGAAAGUUACUUCUUCAAAAGCAAAAGUAUCUCAUAUCAUCUCUUCUCAUUUUUCUUCUCUUUAUCCUUCAUGCUGCUGCAAGAUGGGGAGAAGGUGAACAAUCAGUCGGAGCUCUGAUUGCUUACCUUGUCUGUCACCUCUUUCAGCAGACCCCCUAGCUCGGCGACUUGGGGGACUCCUACUACAUGGUUUGUAUCGCGCUUGACCAAGCCUGAGAACUACAAGUAAGCUUCAAGUGAAAUUGAUACAUUACCUUGUGCAUCUCCACCAGUUAAAGAUACCACCCCUGGAUGGAGGAAGAGUACUUCCAGAGAAGAUGCCACAUCUACCUAUGAGACAGAUAAGGCAAGUCAAGACGACACCACACUCCGAUACUUAGAAGUUUCGUGAUUACGAGAUCAUUCUCCCACAAUAUUUCCUAAUGUCAUUUGUACUAAAUCAUUCACUUGUACUCACUAAAUGAGAGCUUGAACCUAUGUACUUGUGUAAACCCUUCACAAUUAAUGAGAACUCUUCUAUUCCGUGGACGUAGCCAAUCUGGGUGAACCACGUACAUCUUGUGUUUGCUUUCCUAUCUCUAUCCAUUUAUAUACUUAUCCACACUAAUGACCGGAGCAAUCUAGCGAAGAUCACAAAAAGCGACCGUUUUCGCUACCUAGGAUCUAUCUCGCAAGAGAACGGAGAAUUAGAUGGAGAUCUCAACCAUAGAAUACGAGCUGGAUGGAUGAAGUGUAAGAGUGCAUCCGGCGUGUUGUGUGACCGUCGUAGGCCACUGAAGCUCAAGGGAAAAUUUUAUAGGACGGCAAUAAGGCCAGCGAUGUUGUAUGGCACAGAAUGUUGGGCGGUGAAGCAUCAACACGUACACAAAAUGGGUGUAGCGGAGAUGAGGAUGCUUCGUGGGAUGUGUGGGCACACGAGAAAGGAUAAGAUUGGUAAUGAGGAUAUCCGAGGUAAAGUAGGAGUAGCCGAAAUUGUAGGAAAGAUGAGAGAAAAUCGGCUCCGAUGAUUUGGACAUGUGCAAAGAAGGCCGACUGACGCUCCGGUUCGAAGAUGUGACUACGGGACAGAGGUUCAGGGCCAAAGGGGUAGAGGAAGACCUAGGAAAACUUUGGAAGAGACUCUAAGAAAAGACUUAGAGUACUUGGAUCUAACGGAGGACAUGACACAAAACCGAGCGCAAUGGCGUUCUAGGAUUCAUAUAGCCGACCCCACUUAGUGGGAAAAGGCUUUGUUGUUGUUGUUGUUGUUGUUGUUGUACUAGUGGAGACAGAAUAAAAGAACAAAAAAGAAAAACAUACAACAUGAGCUCUGUAAUAUGAUUUCAAGAAUUUAAAAACUCACUAGUGAUAUUUGGAAUGUGAGAAAUCUUAGGCCAAUCUGUGCCGCUGUCCUCGGUGCAUCAUUCCUUUAGAUGGGGAUGACAUCCAGAAAUAUAGAGAGUUUGUAAGUUGGUGAGGUGUUGCAUAGCUUGGACACUAGGUAAGCUCUUCAGAUUAUUGCAAGAAAGAAUCCUCAGCUAUUUAAGGGAUGUAAGGCUACCCAACCAUUCCGGCACAGUCUCCACUCCGUCAAAUGAAAAUAAUGAAAGUUUCUUUUCUUAAUAAAUAACAAAACUGUGAAUAAUUUUACCUUGUCAAUAUCUCUGAUUGGACAUUUUCCUCUUAUGUACACAUGAUAGCCCGUGGAAGCUUCCACCCGCUUUAGGGAAUUGCCACAACCUAGAGAAGGGGUGAAUACAUAAGAGUAAGCAACACAGUGGAUCAAAAUGAAUUCUCAAUUGAGAAAGCCGCCUAAUGCAAAUAGAUGAAUUUAGAAAAAGUCAGUGGAUAACUGACCCAGGAAGAAACAAUGCCGUAGGCUGAUACGUAAAGAGUAUUUUGGCAGUGUUCAUGUCCACAAAAAAGUAAGCAACAUUGUGACUCAACCUGUGGAUAGAAGACCACCAUAAUUAACUCCCAAACUCCCCGGACAGCGUUGCACAUUCUAAUCCCACAUCAGGAACGAUACGAGUCUUCUGAGUGGAAUACUACUGGGUAUCUCUCAGGACCUUUAGGGAAACAUGAUUGAAGUUGAAGAAUGAUAUUGAUCCGCCUAUGAGCUUUGAUCGGAAUCCCAAUAUCCCUGUACAAAGAUAACACCAAAACAACUUAAAGAAAAAUAUAAACAACAAAUUUCAAUCUUUCUCACAUCUUGAAGAAACAUUCCAGUCAUGGUUCAACACUUAGAUUCACAAUAAGUACUCCCACGCCAUUAACUGAGAAACUCUUCAAGUCCUCUGGUACCUCGGAAUUUGGAAUUCUCGAUUGUCAAUUGAAGCUAAUGAAGAAAAUGCCAGUUGAGAAGAAUUACAUAACACAGUAUAAUAAAAUCACAAAGAGAACAAGUCUGGGCCUGUAGAACCAAAGGUAAUCCGCUGAAGGAUGAACAAUUAAGUCCCCUCAAAUUUGUUAGCAUCAUAUAUUUCUCAGCAACCUCGCGAGACAUUUGAGAAAUUACAUGCCCCAACUUGGUGCCAACAGCAAGUGAAAAGCUGCAAGAAAGAAAUCACUAUUGAGUUUUAACUUUCAAACUAAUUCUGUAUAGUAUUAGUAAAACAGAUAGCCUGAUAUGACCACAGCAGAAAAGCUUGCAUACUGUUUAAGUUGCAAUUUUGGCAACAGGAAUACCUCUCCUCUAGCAUUUUCGUUUCCUAUCCCAUAGAAUUUUAUAUCCUCAACAGAAUACCCUGCCACCGCUGAGUCAUAGCGAGUUCCAUAAAUGAACAAGCCCUCGAAGACUUUCAUGAGUAAUAUCAAGGUCCAGUGAACUUGCUGCAAAAUAAACAUUUCAUAUGGCUACUCUCAUAAUAAUCUCUCUUGAUAAUUUCAGCAAUAAUACAGGUACUCAACAGUUCAUCAAGUUACUCGAGCGAUAUCAAUUACUGACACAAAAUCAAUAGAAUUCAAAUCACUGUGCAUAUUACAAGUUGCCCCAAAACUAUGAGUCGAAAAUCUUCACAAGAAAGCAAUUACAAGAGUUCUAUAUAUUAUAUUAACGUCGUUAACCUGAAAACAAGUCUUGGGAUAAUAUAAACAAAUUUCCUCAUUGUGCAUGAACCAAUGGAAUAAGCAACCUGCAAGAGAUGGAAGCAACAAAUGUGGUAAAUCUACCACUGCCAUUGUGAUCAGAAUAAAAAGUCAUUAGCAUGUAAGGGAUGAAAGGAUGAAAUAAUAUCUAAAACAACAAACACCACAUUUCUGUAAAAAAAAAACAUAUCUUGUGCUUCAGUACCUGGACUCUGCUUGCACCUACUGCACUACAUCGUUCCCGUUGCGUAGUUUCAAUCCAAGUAUUGUCUCAGACCACAACUGAUCAUUUAAAAGAAAAGAGAGAAGGAUAAACAAAUUAUGUUAUACUAGUUUAAAUUUGAGUGUACUACUAGUGGAGACACGGAAUAAAAGAAGAAAAAUGAUAAACAUAUAACGUCAGCUCAGAAAUUUGAUUUCAAUAAUUUAAAAACCUUACUUCUGAAAUAUGGAAUGUGAGAAAUCUUAGGCCACUCUGUGCCGCUGUCCCUGCUGCAUCUUUCCUCUAAAAGGGGAUGACAUCCAUAAAUCCUUGGAGAUUGUAAGUUGGUGAGGCGUUGCAUAGCUUGGACACUUGGUAAAUUCAUCAGAUUCUUGCAAUCCCAAAUCCACAGCUCUUAAGGGAUGUAAGGCUACCCAACCAUUCUGGUAAAGUCUCCACUCCGUCAAUGCAGAAGUUGGAGCCAUGUGGAGUCGUUGUACAUACAACUGGAAUAAAAGUAAUCUUGGAGAACUGUGGCCUUGCACACCAUGAAAUUUGGUAAGGUGCUGCCUACCAUCGAUUCAACUGCUGUGUGACUUAAAAAGGAGAAGGAUAAACAAAUUUUGUUAUAGUACGUGCUUUGAAUUUUUGUGUAGUAAUAGUGGAGACACAGAAUAAAAAAACAAAAGAGAUAAACCUAUAACGUGAGCUCUGUAAUUUGAUUUCAAUAAUUUUAAAACAUACUUAGGAUAAGUGGAAUGUGAGAAAUCUUAGGUCAAUCUGUGCCAUUGUCCCUGGUGCAUCUUUGCUUUAGAAGGGGAUGACAUUCAUAAAUAGUCAGAGUAUGUAAGUUGGCUCGGCGUUGCAUAGCUUGGACACUAGGUAAAUUCAUCAGAUUCUUGCAAUCUUGAAUGUCCAUCUCUGUAAAGUAUGUAAGGUUACCCAACCAUUCUGGCAAUGUCUCCACUCUGUCAAAUUGAUAUAUCACCAAAAAUGUUAGAAGUGAGGUGUUGAAUUUGUUGAGGCGGAGACUUGAGCUUAGGCCAACCAUACAAGGCUAAAAAUCAGGGAAGGAAUCGAGCUCCUCCCAGAACCGACCGAUUUCCAAAUGAUGGAGAGAAUGGAGGCUGUCUAAACUUGGAAGACUCUCUAAAUUCGGGAUGUCUCUUAUUGUCAGCGCCUCAAACGAGAGUGGGAAUUGCAGGCUUGAAAAUUAUCUUGAGUAAUUGAAGAUUCUUUUACCUAAUUUUUGCAAUAACAGGGUAUUUGACAUUUCAUCAAGUUAGUCAAGGGAUAUGAAAUAGAGAUAAAUAAAUCAACCAAAUUCAAAUCACUGUUUAUACGAUUUGAACACUGUUCAUAAAUCACAAGUCGGUCGUACCCAGUGCACAAGGCUCCCGCUUUACGCAUGGUCUGGGAGAGGUGAAUGUCGGCUAGCCUUACCCCCAUUUAUGGAGAGGCUGCUCCCAAGUCUCGAACCCGAGACCUACCGCUCAUGGGCGAAGGCACUUGCCAUCGCACCACUUGUUCAUAAAUCACAAGUAACCAUAAAAAUAUCAGUCCAAAAUCUUCAUAAGGAUAACAAUAACAAACAGAAAGUAAUUGCAGUAGUUCUAAAUAUUAUAUGAACAUGGUUUUACAUGAUGACAAUUCUUGGCAUUACUCAUCUAACACUACUUGGGUGCUGGCAGUGUGUGAUUAAACAAGAUUCAAUACCAUGAUGGGUGAUCAAGCUAGUGGUUCAGCACUCCACUCAUACAGAUGAACUAAAGAAAGUUAAAAUAUUGAUUGAUGUUGCCGGCAUUAAGAAAGAUAACAUGUAAAGGAGAAUGCCCAAGGACUAUAAAAAGAGGUAUAUUAUUGAGAAAUGAAGGUAGAGCGAGAGAAUUAAUAUUGUGUGCAUCAGUACCUGGAGUCAGUUUAUAGCUAUUGAGCAUCAUGAAAAACGCCACAGCAUAGCAAAAGAAAUAUAGAUGGCACUGGGAAACACACAACAUAUAUAGUAAGUCAGAAGUCAACAGUAGAAUGUAUUGAUCAAUUAGAAGUAGAAGAGAAGAGGAGAUGUGGGUUUGAAAAUCUUACAUGACUUAAUUUCAAUGCAAAAGUUUGAGCCAUUUGGAGUCGUUUGUACAUAAAACUGGAAUACAAGUAAUCUCGGAGAACUGUGGCCUUGCACAUCAUGAAAUUUGAUUUUCCCAAUACACAUUUGUUGUAGUAUCGCAAGGCAUUGCAUAGCUUCAAUCCAACUGUUGUCUCAGAAGUCUCAGCCCCAAACUGAUUUAAAAGAAGAGGGAGAAGGACAAACAAAUUAUGUUAUACUAGUUUAAAUUUGAGUGUAGUACUAGUGGAGACAUGGAAUAAAAGAAGCAAAGAGAUAAACAUAUAACGUCAGCUUUGUUAUUUGAUUUCAAUAAUUUAAAAACUUACUGUCGAUUUUUGGAAUGUGAGAAAUCUUAGGCCAAUCUGUGUCGUUGUCCCUGCUGCAUCUUUCUUCUAAAAGGGGAUGACAAAUCCAAAUCUCUAGGAAUUGUAAUUUGAUCAGACCACAACUGAUCAUUUAAAAGAAAAGGGAGAAGGAUAAACAAAUUACGUUAUACUAGUUUAAAUUUCAGUGUAGUACUAGUGGAGACACGGAAGAAAAGAACAAAGGAUAUAAACAUAUAACGUCAGCUCUGUUACUUGAUUUCAAUAAUUUAAAAAACUUACUUGUGAUAUCUGGAAUGUGAGAAAUCUUAGGCCAAUCUGUGCCGCUGUUCCUCAUGCAUCUUUGCUUUAGAAGAGGAUGGCAUCCAGAAAUAUACAGAGUUUGUAAUUUGGUGAGGCGUUGCAUAGCUUGGAAUCUUGGUAAAUUCCUCAGAUUCUCGCAAGACCAAAUCGUCAGCUCUGUAAGGAAUGUAAGGCUACCCAACCAUUCUGGCAAAGUCUCCACUCCGUCAAAUGAACAUAUCUCCAAAUGUGUUAGAGAAGUGAGGUGUUGAAUUUGUUGAGGCAGAGACUUGAGCUUAGGCCAACCCCACAACACUAAACUUGUAAGAUUCAUUAAUGAUGCAACUUGAAAAUCAGGAAAGGAAUCGAGCUCCUCCCAAAAUCCACCGAUAUCCAAAUGACGGAGAGAAUUAAGGCCGUCUAAACUUGGAAGAAUCUUUAAAUUAAGGAUACUGACUAUUGCCAGCGUCUCAAGAGAGAGUGGGAAUUGCAGGCUGCUCACCCAACUUUCUAAUCUUUCACAUCUUUCAAUCCACAUAAGUCGAAGGGAGGUCAUGAUGCGCAAAUCUGAAGUAGAUUGUAGACUAACUCCUCCUUCCCAACUCUGCUACUUUUGACACCAAACGAUGAUAGCUUUGGGCAUCCUCUUAUCCACAAUUCCUGAAGAGAUGGACAUUGUUGUGGAAGAACAGGUAUGCUUAUACUAGUUGUCUUAGAAGACUCAUUCCCAAACUGAUUUAAAAGAAGAGGGAGAAGGAUAAACAAAUUAUGUUAUAUUAAUUUAAAUUUGAGUGUAGUACUAGUGGAGACAUGGAAUAAAAGAAGAAAAGGGAUAAACAUAUGACAUCACCUCUGUAAUUUGAUUUCAAUAAUUUAAAAACUUACUUCUGAUAUCUGGAAUGUGAGAAAUCUUGCAUAGCUUCAAUCCAACUGUUGUCUCAGAAGAAGUCUCCUUCCCCAACUGAUUUAAAAGAAAAGGGAGAAGGAUAAACAAAUUAUGUUAUACUAGUUUAAAUUUGAGUGUAGCACCAGUGGAGACACGGAAUAAAAGAACAAAAGAGAUAAAUAUAUAACGUCACCUCUGUAAUUUGAUUUCAAUAAUUUAAAAAACUUACUUGUGAUAUCUGGAAUGUGAGAAAUCUUAGGCCAAUCUGUGCCGAUGUACCUGGUGCAUCUUUCCUCUAAAAGGGGAUGACAUCCAGAAAUCCAUGGUUUUUGUAAUUUGGUGAGGCGUUGCAUAGCUUGGACACUUGGUAAAUUCAUCAGAUUCAUCAAGUUACUCUAGCAAUAUCAACUACAGACACAAAAUCAAUAGUAUUCAAAUCACUCUGCAUACAAUUCAGAUAUUUCAAGUAGCCCCAAAACUAUCAGUCCAAAAUCUUCAUAAGAAAGCAAUUACAGCAGUUCUAUUUAUUAUAUCAACAUCAUUAUCCUGAAAACAAGUCUUGAGAUAAUAUAGAGUUAUAGACAAAUUUCCUCAUUGUGCAGGAAUCAAUGAAAUACGCAAACUGUAAGAGAUCAAAGAAACAAAUGUGGUAAAUCCACCACUACUAUUGUGAUCAGGAUAAAAAGUCAUUAGCAUGCAAUGGAUGAAAGGAUGAAACAAUAUCUUAAACAACAAACAACACAUUUCUGGAAAAAAAAAAAAAAACAAUAUCUUAUGCAUCAGUACCUGGAUUCUGUUUGCACCUACUGCACUACAUCGUUCCAGUUGCGUAGUUUCAAUCCAAGUAUUGUCUCAGACCUCAACUGAUCAUUUAAAAGAAAAGGGAGAAGGAUAAACAAAUUAUGUUAUACUAGUUUAAAUUUGAGUGUAGUACUAGUGGAGACACGAAAUAA
rnacentral:lncRNA from 1 species